UACGUAUGGAGCAAGCGUUAUCCGGAUUUACUGGGUGUAAAGGGAGCGCAGGCGGCUUUGCAAGUCUGAUGUGAAAGGCCGGGGCUCAACCCCGGGACUGCAUUGGAAACUGUAAAGCUAGAGUGCCGGAGGGGUAAGCGGAAUUCCUAGUGUAGCGGUGAAAUGCGUAGAUAUUAGGAGGAACACCAGUGGCGAAGGCGGCUUACUGGACGAUAACUGACGCUGAGGCUCGAAAGCGUGGGGAGCAAACAGG
rnacentral:rRNA from 1 species